GAGAGUUUGAUCCCGGCUCAGAAUCAACGCUGGCGGCGCGCCUAACACAUGCAAGUCGAACGAGAAAGCGGGGGUAACCUCGUGAGUAAAGUGGCGUACUGGUGAGUAACACGUGGAUCAUCUACCCCGAAGUGGGGAAUAACGCUGGGAAACC
rnacentral:rRNA from 1 species